UGUUCCCCCACCUUGUUCAGCCAGUCUUGCCUUCUGUUGUUAGUCUCCGUUUUCUCAUUGGUAUUUCAUGUGCCAUUUUUUUCCAGGAGGCAGAAGAAGCGGCUUCGUUUUCUCUCCAGACGAAGGAGAUCCAGCUGGCGACGGGGAAACCACAGACCGAGGAAAAGAGGGAGAUGGAUAAAGGGUCCAACUUUUCAGAGAAACGUCCUCAAGGUUACAAGCAGACUAGCGUGAGCAAGAAGGGGUACCUGCAGUGGGCCCGCUAUGGAGAAGCCAGAUUGAGAGCCCGCUUUCCAGGAAGAGCAAAUACGGUGCUCCCCUACCGCUGGAAACAAAGAGGGCAAACCCUGGAAUGUCGCCUCUCGCAGCCGCUGAGGAGAGGCCGCCCCCUGCGCCCAGUCGAGACCUUCCCCUCCGCUCCGCCGCUGCCGUCACCAACGCCGCCGUCUCCUUCUUCUCUCCCAAAAAUUGUGGUGAAACGGAGGACGUCCCGUUUCCUCCAGAACGAGGCCCUCCAGCAUACAGUCAAAACCUGCCCGGAAUGCCACGUCACCUUCAACGGGCUGGCCAGCUUCCGCCGCCACCAGAUGUGCCACACGGGGGAGAAGCGGUACACCUGCUCUUUCUGCGGCAAGGGCUACUGCUUCAGAUCCGAGCUGGCUCGCCACGAGUGCCGGCACGUGGGCCGGAAGCCCCACGAGUGCUCCUACUGCGGGGAAGGGUUUGACCGCAAGUGGUGGCGUGACCAACACCAAAUGGAGCACAUGAAGAGCUCCUCCAGGUUUUGAUCAGCUGGGCGGCAGGGGAGAGAAAAUGGAAAUGGGAUAGAGAUGGGCACGAACUGCUGAUUUGGCGGUUCGUGGCAGUUCGCUUAGUGGCCAAACAGGUAUUUGGUGCUUCUCAGCCCUGCCUCCCCCAGCAGGAACCCAUUCAGGGGCAGCGCCCAGAGGAGGCAGGGCAAGGAAGCCAGGGUGCUGCCUUUGAGUGGGCACGGCUUUGAAACACUAAACACCUGUUUGACUGAUAAACGAACCAGGCAUAGCCGGUGGUUUGUGCCCAUCUCUAUAAACAGGAACAUUUUGUAGAUAAAGGGUGGUGAUAAGUAGAAUAUUUUUACUAUUUGCAUCCAAUUUUUUUUUUACAGUUUAGCUGGCUCACCCGGGCAAAAUUUUCCAUCUUUUUAGAAGGGUAUUUCUAAUGCUUCUUGUUGACUUAGUCCAUCUUUCCUCUGGGAACCCACAGCAAAAUGUGGUUUAAUCAGUAAAAGUUAGAUUUUCUUGUAUAAGGGUAGCGACAUUGGAAGUCCUUCUAUUAUGACGGAUUAUAACUCAAUUUAGCCAGCUUCCCCAUACAAAAUAACUGAGCUGGUUGUGUGGUUUAACGCUUGCGAACCAACCGCAAAACCCACAUUACUGUCGGUAACCAGAGAGGCAAUAUAGGCUUGAGCCUGUACAUGCAACAUUCCCAGAGAUGACAAAAAUAAUAGAUCUGUUUUGAGUGGCCCGAAGUAAGUGUAGGCUUUGCACCUACUGAGGCCUCUCAUUUUUUGACUAGAGGGGGUGAUCCAUGGUCUUUGAGCAAAUCCCUUUGGUCUUUGAGCAAAUCUCUGCUUGCAAAAGUAAACAACUUACUUUUGUGCAAGUAAAUUCUGCUUGCACAAGAAAGUUCUUUGCUUGGCUGGAAAAAUUAUCCAAAAUGGUGCCUGGAAUGGGAGAAGGUAGCAUUCGGGUGCCCACCCUGGCCAUUGUCGAGCCCUAAGAGUGUCGCUCUGUGACGCACUGCUCGUCGCCAAGAUUCAAAAGCAAAUUUUUUUGGCGUCUGUUGCUUUCAGAGUUUUAUAGUUUUAUUCGGUGUUUUGGUGCUUUAUGGCAUUCAUUGGAUUUUUUAAAAAGAAGAAAAAAAGUUGUUUUAUGGAGUUGGGUAGAUUUUCUCUCAGACAUGAAAAUAAAACUUUGUAUUCCAUAACA
rnacentral:lncRNA from 1 species